CUCAGUGAAGCCAGUGUUCAACGUCUUACAGCAGAAGAAAUUCGACGACAGACAUGAAUAACAAGAGCACCAGGUGACACUGUACAGGGUGACGUAGCCAGACAAGUCCCAUCAAACGCUUUACGAGUUUAAGCUGAGAGGGUCGGUGAGCUGCAGCAGGGUGGUGGUGCAUCCAGUGAGGAGAACGCAAGCUGAAGCACUGUGACAGGCAGCUGCAGAGUGUAUGCACAGCAUAGCAAGCUGCAGGCCUGUUUCUGUGCACUUUCACAGAGUG